AACGAACGCUGGCGGCAUGCCUAACACAUGCAAGUCGAACGAGACCUUCGGGUCUAGUGGCGCACGGGUGCGUAACGCGUGGGAACCUGCCUUUAGGUUCGGAAUAACUCAGAGAAAUUUGAGCUAAUACCGGAUGAUGUCUUCGGACCAAAGAUUUAUCGCCUUUAGAUGGGCCCGCGUAAGAUUAGCUAGUUGGUGGGGUAAAGGCCUACCAAGGCGACGAUCUUUAGCUGGUCUGAGAGGAUGAUCAGCCACACUGGGACUGAGACACGGCCCAGACUCCUACGGGAGGCAGCAGUGGGGAAUAUUGGACAAUGGGCGAAAGCCUGAUCCAGCAAUGCCGCGUGAGUGAUGAAGGCCUUAGGGUUGUAAAGCUCUUUUACCCGAGAUGAUAAUGACAGUAUCGGGAGAAUAAGCUCCGGCUAACUCCGUGCCAGCAGCCGCGGUAAUGUGACUACUG
rnacentral:rRNA from 1 species